rnacentral:rRNA from 1 species
ACGCUCGACAGUGUCAGCCGCCGCGGUAAUACGGAGGGGGCUAGCGUUGUUCGGAAUUACUGGGCGUAAAGCGCACGUAGGCGGCUUUGUAAGUCAGUAGGUGAAAGCCUAGGAGCUCAACUCCAGAACUGCCUUUGAGACUGCAUCGCUUGGAAUCCAGGAGAGGUGAGUGGAAUUCCGAGUGUAGAGGUGAAAUUCGUAGAUAUUCGGAAGAACACCAGUGGCGAAGGCGGCUCACUGGACUGGUAUUGACGCUGAGGGUGCGAAAGCGUGGGGAGCAAACCAGGAUUAGAUACCCCUAGGUAGUCCGACGCCGUAAACGAUGAUAACUAGCUGUCCGGGGACAUGGUCUUUGGGUGGCGCAGCUAACGCA